GCCACUGAUCAGACUGGUCGCACUAAACGAGGGCUCCGAGCAGAAACUCACAAAAAGCAACAUAUUGCUAACAAAACACGCCAGAACCACUCACUUGAAGCAGCAGAGCAUCGGUGAUACUCGAGACUCAACCAGGUGGAUUUCCGGGCUCGGAGAAGCACACUGAAUCAAACUACGAAUUGUGGCCUACCAGCAGACGCAGGAGCAGGAGAGGCGGACGAUCUCCCUGCGAGCAGCUCUGCAGGAAUGCGCUGAGGCACUUGGGACCCCCAUUUCCCCCCCUGCCAGUGAAGAAUAUCCCGGCACACUCACUUAACAUAUAGGCUCUACUGCAAAGCAACAAGGGGAGUCAGUGAACUCACCUGAUCCUGUUACAUCACAAUAUACCACAGCCAGAGUCAAGAUGGCGAUGAUGGCGCUGACCACGACAACACAAGGCCUACUGGAUAGUUUCGAGCAGUGGCUGGACGUGAUCUUCAGCUACUUUUGGCCGAAGCUGUGGCAAAGAGGGGCGCAGACAGGGAAAGCGGCCACAGACCGACAGGUGGCGACCACCUCCCAGCUGUCUUCCCCACGAGGCUGGCAGAUCUUGGAGCACUGGGUCAACCUGCAGACCAAAGAAGCAGGGGAAGAAGAGAGCACACCUGCAAACUGCGCCCAGUCACGAAGUACCCAUGCCCGCAAUUGCCAUCCAAGGCUGAGAGCCCAAAGGGGGCCAACCCGGGCACAUGACCCACAUUCUCGACAGUAACAACCACGAGCUCAAGCGACGAAAGCACCCCAUCGGGACUAUGCUUACGGUGGUGUGAGAAACCGGAGCAGUGGAGUCCGCAUAAAGGCUCUGGAGACAGCCUGGGGCUGGAGGAGCGGCCUAGCAUGGCCUUUUUGGGAAUUGUUCCCAUACCUGACUCAGAUAGUCAGCAAAGGCAUCGGGUGAAAGCCGGACAGAGUGAUGCAAGACACAAGCUUGGCAAAGUAUAGCGGCUCGCCACCUUACUUCACGGUGAUGCACUUGUUUUCGGUGAUGCUCCUAGCAACCAUUAACUUUAAAGCCUAUGUUGAUGCCUGUUUUUCUUUUAUUUACCUGACUUGCCAUCCUUAUCUUGAAGUAGCCCGUUGUACAGUGAAGCUAGCGUAUUAUUCCUAAUUUUUAACUCCCAUAAUGGGCUACUGCCCUGCAUUCUCAUCAUAUUUAAGCAUGUCCCUUGCAUUCAACCAAUAGCAGUAACCAUCAUGUCCUAUCGGCUAAAUGCCUCUAUACUCUGCCAUAGUUCUAACUAAUAGCUGGAUAUGCAUGAUUUACCACUAUAUUUCACCCCAUAUGUUCCCCACCUCUACUCUGUUCAUGCUAUAGACCAACCUGGACAUGUAUUAAUUCGCCUGAUUAAUUAGCUUGUUUAUAUACUAUAAAAAAAAUGUGCACUGUUUAAAUGCCAAAUCUGUGAACUCUUCUGAUAUCACUGUGCUUGCGUAUGCUGUUGUGGCAAAGUAAACUGUUAUGUUACCUCAUGCACUACAAAAAUAAAAUAUAUUAAAAAAAAACACACAUACACAUACAGACACAGAGCUAAAACACUGAUACACAUACAAUUACACACACACACAGACAUACAGACUGACAUACGCCACCAAUUAAUGGAAAUAUUUACUAAACAGCUUAAAGAUCAACAGUAAAAAAAGCCCUUCUCUUUAUUUUAAUCUUUCAGUUGUGUAGUAGAUAACUUCCUUAUUUGUUAUCCUUACGUGGGAUUGACACAUUUAAGUACACCAAAUAAGGGUGUUAUGUGCUAAACAAUGCCCUAAUUUCGCAUCCUUAAAUAUUGCAAUCCCACA
rnacentral:lncRNA from 1 species